rnacentral:tRNA from 1 species
AAAAAUUUAGUUAAAAAAUAACAUUAGCUUGUCAAGCUAAAAUCACUGCAAAGUAAUUUUUA